CACUAGCGAUCUGAACACUUUUCGAAUUGAUGAAUGCAUGGAAAAUCCAUGUUCGAAAAACCAACAAGUGUGUAACUAAAAGGUCAAUGCUGAAAGCUCAUUCCAAAGUUGCUGCUUAUCCCAGUAUGUUUGAUAAAUGUAAAGCAAUGACCGUUGCGAUAGCGGAAAGCAAAAACUGUACCAAUAGGACGGUACAUCAACUGAUUAAUAUGCUAAUGUCCACUUCGUGAGCCAAGGUUACUGAGGCAUGCAAGCUUCCUAUGGGGCCUGACUAGCCAUCGUCAACGAGACCCAGCCAAUCACCAUAAUUCCACUGAAGCUAAUCAUUCAAUUGAUGUGUCGCAAAGAGAGCAGAUAAUGUAUCUUCCCCUUUCACCUAUAGCAAAUCGUAUCUUUCAAGCCAUCGUCCAAUUGACUUGACGAGUCGAUUCACGAUUGACGUUGAUUAGUACUAAGAAGUACGACCACAAACAGCCGUUUGUGAUGAGCUGAUUUCCACUACUAUCCAUCAAAUCACUCUUCCACGGCUGUUGUUGCGAAUAUUUGAAAAAAUUAUCAGUUUUCUUUUCUCGAUUAUUAACGAAGCAAGUACGUUUUGUGGUCUAUCUAGGCAAAUAUAAAAAGCCGAUCGUCUCCAAGCAUUUGAUCUCUGUCAUUGUAACCAUCUUACAAAAUCAACGCUCCAAAAAUAAACUUGAGGAAACAUGUUGCGCUCAUCGAUGCUGCUUGCUCUUUUGAUCGUCUUGCUGUGCGUCAUAUCAUCUUCUGCGAGUAAUUGUAAUUGCCAUCACGGCGAAAAAGGCUCGGCUGCUGAAGCCCAUCAUCACGGUUGUCACCACGAUGAAAGCGGCUCGAAUGGUGAAGCUCAUCACAGUUGCCACCACUCUACUGGAGAUGUUGCUCAUCACGAAACUCCCUGCCAAUGCCCUCACGAUACUCCUUGCCAAUGUUCUCACGAAGGAGUUCAUUCUUGCGGUCAUGCGGGAUGUCAUCACGACAAUCCGACCCUGAUGUGAGCGGAAAUUAUGAUCUGGCCAUUUUGUCUUAACAUUCUAAGUGGCGGUAACGAUGCUGGCUAUUAAUAUCAUUUUUGUUUGUUUACUUUUCUGUACGCACAUCCAAUCGAAGUAAAAUGUGUACAAAUUUA
rnacentral:lncRNA from 1 species